GGAGAAGUAGUCUAAUUGGCUAAGGCGUCGGUCUUGAAAACCGAUGGGGUUAAUAGCCCCAUGUGGGUUCGAGUCCCACCUUCUCCGCCA
rnacentral:tRNA from 1 species